CGGUGAAUUAACGCUGCGGGUGCAAUUUGGAUGUUCGGGGCUGAGCACAAAAAAGUGAAAGGAAGUUUUUGCCGCGCCUUGUCUGACUGUGUUCAAUACAGCGCACGGUGGUAUGAGGCGCGUCUGAUACUCCGUCCAGGCGAGGAGCUAAGGUGGGGGCUGCUAGUAGCCGCGGAAAAGAGUUCGGAUCCCGGGUCCAGUCCCGGGAGAAGAAGUCAGAGGGAGCCGAACAGGCGUUGGGGCGCAGGGCCUUUUGCCAGGCUGCCGAAUGAGAAACGAGGACUCCCGCUUGCCAGCCGCCCUCUCGCCGGGCUGAGCGUUCGCAACGUCCUUGACCGAGCGGAGCUCCUAUCCUUGCCUCCUUUUGGACGGAACGGUCAGUAAGCCAGACUCGUCUGGACGUGGGAAGCCCCGCGGGCGAAGAGGAGCGGAAAGGCCGGUCUCCAAAGGCUCGGAAGGAGCCGGGAAGAUUUUGCAAAGGCGCCCGGAAAGAUCGCAGCGCUGUGAGAACAAGCUCACUUCGCUCCCACCGGGACCAAGCUCCUAGUCACAGAUCCAAAGUGUGACAAUCAGCCACCACCAAAAGUCGUUCUCCUGAGCCCUUUAUGCCACAAAAAGCGUAUCACCCUUGUGUGCCUGGCCCAGGGCUUCCACUAUGAGUGGCUACUGGAUGUGACCUGGAAGCGUGAUGGCCAAAAUAUUGACCGACUCUCCUCUGCUACUGAGCCAGUCCAGAAACAAGGGGAGUGCAACUUUGCCACUGCCAGUCGCCUGAGUGUGUUGGCAGAGGAGUGGCAGAAAGGCCACAACUAUUCCUGCCAUGUCGACCAAACGGGGCAGGUGGUGAGUGACUCGGUGAAGAGCAGUCCAGACCACAAGACAGAAUCAACUUCAGGUAUCUCUGAGAUUCAACUCAGCCUUAAUGCGGGACAGUUUAUAUUCCUCCUACUAGGGGCCAAAAGCUUGGCCUACAGUGCUAUUCUGGGCAUCUACAAGAUCUAUAGAAAAAAACGUCUCUAAUUGCGUUACCUGUUACAACAGUAUUCACUCCCUUACCAGCCAAGGCAGAGAUUUACGUAUAGCUGCAGGCCUUUCCCAGUGAAGAUCCAUUCCAUUCUGAAGCUUCCACAUCCUUCGUCUUAGCCUCUUCCUUCCAGAGGGACUCAUUGGUCACUUUAUAUUAAAUUGUCCUAUGCCUUGAGAAAAUGUCAAUACAUAUUUUCUGCCUCAUAAUAAAGAUGUUGUG